GCCUGCUCAAAGUAGCGCGUAAUGGCGGCGGCGUCUUCAAACUAUAUUACCUGACCCGCUGUUCCUCUGGCAGUUUGCUUUUUGGUCAGUGGUCGAUGCAGGCUCAAUGGGCUAAAGGGCCUGUUUACUUGCUGAAUCUCUACGUCUUUAUGCCUAUUCCAUUCCCCUGGCUUGGUUGCAGUCCACUGAUGUCUCACCAUGUGAAAUACACUUUUAUGGUAGAUUAA